GAACUGUUUCCUCUUAGGUUGAUGGAUAUCUCCCUGUUCCUCAUAUCUCAGAUAUCAGCUCCUCUGCAAAGCAAGACCUUGUUGUUGCUCCAAAACACCUAGAUCUGUUCCAUUGCAGUGCUUAAUAUACGAUGCUGUCAUUUCUGUUUCCUUCUCAGCAUACUCGGGAAGACCAAGCGUUCUUACGAUGGUACAUAUAGAACUUCAGAUUAUCCAUCAUGCCCUUAAAAUUGUGUACUAUUUAUCUACUGCCAUAAUGUAUUGGAUAACAACAACCACAAAACCUCAGUAGCCCUUCAUUAUGAGGGAAUAUUAUUUAUGGGUCUGGAGUCAGCUGGGGCUUAGCCAGGGGUUCUGCUAAACUUGAAUGGGAGUGGUUACCUCUCUUGGGUUGGCUGGCUGAUGGCUGAUGUAGAGUAGUCUAUGCUGAAACAACUAAGCUUUGUUCCUCGUGGUUCUCAUCUUCCUUCUGAGAGAGAGGACUAAGUUGGUCUUCCUCAUGGUGGUGGAAGAAGUGCAAAUUCUCGAGCCCCAACAUGCAAGUCCAUCUCACAAGGUUCUGCUUGAGCCAUUCUUAUUAUUAUCCUAUUGACCAAAGCAAGUUGCACAGAUGAGUUCAAAGUCAGGUGGUGGGGCAGGUCACCCCACUCACAGGGGGAAGUUCUGGCCAAAGUCCAGAUACCAAAAAAAAAAAACAAAAAACUAGAGGGCCAUUGUUUGCCUUGUAUUUUGUACUAAAAUACUGUGCAUUUUCUGAAAAGAUGAUCUAAAGUUUUUGUCAGUUUCUCACUGGGGAAAUUUUUGUGCCAUAUCCACAAAAGUUUGAGAACUUUCAAUAUAGACUUAUCCUUGAGUCCAGGGACUCUAUCUCUAGUUGUGCAUCUUCACAAACUAGAAAACAGUUCUUUGAACAUAGCAGAUGCUUGAUAAAUGUGUAUGAAUGAAUGAAUGAAUGAAUGCCUUCUGCAUGCAGGCCCUGUAAUAGACUCAGAGGAUGGAUAUAAUUCAGCCAAAUGAGGCCUUUACUCUCAAGGAAUUUUUACUGUAGGAGCUUUCUGAGAGUUGAUGCUCAGGGGUUGGAGACAGGAAGAAACUGGACAUCCUGCCAUCUCAGGCAGAAUAAAGUUUGCAUCAUUAAAAAAUCUGAAAGGUGAAAGUCAAGAAAGGACAAGCUUUAGAGGAGACACAAUAAAAAUCUCAACUUCAGUGAUUGCCAGCGUGGGUUAUCCUGUAGAGACCAGACGCUGCACAAACAAACAGAUAGUCUGGCUUAAAAAAAAUGCAAGUGGAGACCCCGUAGUUAUUGGUGUCACAAAGUGAAUAAUGAAUUUUCUUAGCAGCUAGUUUCAGAAUCCGUCUCUGAAAAGGAAAUUACCUCUGUCCAGGAAAAUAUCUUGAUAAGAUGUUCAGGGCAGAAGGUGAGACCCUGAAGGCAUGGGUGUCCAAGGAGGUGAGCUGUUUUCUCCUCACAAGGAAGGAACGAGAGAAAGGAGUCAGAAGAGGUUGGAAGGAAGGAGGACAUGAGACCUGGGGUGUUAACCCACCUGAGAUCCAUAUUGGAGAAAGAAAGCAAGACACUCCUAUGAGAAAACCAGUCAGAAACCUCCCAACCUUGGAAGAAGCUAAUAGGUGAUUUUCAGUGGAUGGCUGGGAGGCAUUCUGUGGGACCCUGCCUUGUGACCCCAGAGUUUACCAAGGAGUAGAUGCAGCUGCAUUCUGCUUUAUCACUUGUUUUUUAAAUGCCUUUAUGAAAAAUGAGAGAAACACCGAGCUACUCACGAAGAUCAAUGUGGUCUAAACAGAUGCAGCAGAUUUAGUAGCAAGAGGCUGAGGGCAAAGAUUUCCAGGCUGAAGCACCCCAGAUUUCAGGAAACCAAUGAAGGCUUUGAAUGCUCAGGGUUGUGGAACUUGGGGACAUCAGGGGGUCCCACCUGAUACCUGCUUGGUGACAUUCUCGACUUGGGGAGCUGUUUGGCUGGUUUCUUACAUUCUGUCUGUCUCUGUUUUCUUACCUUUAAGCCAAGGAUAACAGCAGGAUUGCCUUCAUGGGAUCCUUGGGAGAGUAUCCUAUGAAUUAAUCAAGCACAAAACAUGGCACCUCGCGUUUUUACUCAUGAUGGUCAGUUCUCCUCAUUUUAGUUGUCAUUGUGAUUGUUUGUGUUACCAUGCAUAGCUAACAUCUGGGGAGCAUUGACCAAGUAGAUCUUAGAUCUCCCUCUGAGCUGCCCCAUGACCUUGAGAAAAGUCACUUUGCCCUUCAAGGCCAUAGGCUUUCCCUCCCUCUACGAAUGGAAGGAAAUUUGGCAAAGCUUUCUCCAACGGUUGCUUUGUAGAUGACACAGCGGCCCCACAGUUCUUGGCUCCGUAUGUAGCCUGGCUUGACGUUGGAGGAAGCCACUCUGGGUUGCAGGCCACAGUCCACUCAGAAAUCCAUUUUCUUCACUCAGCAUAACACUGAGGUGAGAUUGACUUGGUGUGUUUGUUUACACCCCUUGGGAAGUUAUCUCCCUUUUCACUUAAUUAUCUGAUACUCAGACAUUGCUGUGCAAAAUUCACCUCAAAUACAUUCUGUAAAGUCAUCUAGACUCGCUCAUUUGGUGCUUUGAUUAAAAUGUGCAAUCUUCCCCAGGCUUCAGCACCUCGUUAAAUAAUUGCACCUCCAGUGAGAAAGUAAACAGCACAUGCUGGGGCACAGAGCACAUGAUAAAUGUGGUGUACUUCCAGCAGGUAUUUUACUCCAGCCUCCAGGGAAACGUGCAACCUCUCGGUUAAGCGCUGAACGGCCACUGGCUUUAGGCUGCUUCCUUUUGACAAUCUUGUUCAGGAGGAGGGUGACCCAGAAACAGAGCAGAAUCCCCUGUCCACCCUUGCAUGGCUUCAUUUCUGCUUAACUUGGUCUGAGUCCUGGGGAAACACAGGCCAAGGGUUGGUUGCUCACCAAGAACUUGGCCCAUCCCCUAACAGUAUCAAAAAAGGAAGUCCGUCGGUUAAUUGCUUUCCACUCAAUGUGGAAAGGCGGGGGCUAGCCACAGUGCACACUUCUUAAAUAAUGGGGGCAGUGCUGUUGAGAGGUUGGCAACUUUUAUUCAAGUCCCACUUUUCUCACUGGUAAGUAACGUUGACCUUGAACUUUUCACUUUAUCUUUUUUGACCUCUAUUUGUUCCCCAGGUUCUUCUAUAAAACGAAUAAGUUUGACAUUGCAGGCAGCCCUGGAUUAAGUGUACCCGUGCCAUUUGCUUGCAUGUGACUUUGAGUAGGUAACUUAACCUCUCAGAGACUAGGGGUUUUCUCAUCUGGGAAAAUGGCUAAGAGCUGAUAGGAAAAUUAAAUCACUGAGAUAAUACAUCUGAUACAUCAGACACAGCACUGAGCAUAGAGAUGGAAAUUAUUGGGCAAAUAAUGUGGUGGUCUGGAAUGAGCAAGGGUUGGUCAGCUUUGGGUGUGAAUCUUGCUUCUACCAAUUUUUAGCUGCGACCUUAGGUAAGUUACUUGUCUUUUGUGAGUGCUAAUUUGUAAAGAGAGAUAAUACAUUCCUGUUUUAGGAGAUGUGAAGAGGCAGGAUUAAAUGAGAGGAUCUAACAGGCAUACCAACCUCUCUAGCAGAGAAAGAGCCCCCUGAACACUUAUUCAUCAAGGCAGGGAUAAUGAUUUAUGGCAUAAUGAGCUACUUUUUAAAAUGAGUCCAUAAUGGGAAACUCAAAGUAAAACACAUGGUUCAAGAAAAGCCUGCAUGAUGCUGGUUGGCAAGGGUGUUUGUGGAAAUUUCUUUUUCCUAGUAUUCACUCACUCCAAGGUCUUAGAACAGGGAAUUUGAUCAUCAGGCUGAAAUAGAUCCUUCCUGAGUUUUUCUUCUGGUUCCAUAGGGCAUGGAAAGGAAUCCAGGGAACCAGCUGAUCUUCUGACGUAUUCCUGGUUGGCCAUCGAUCCAUUCCACCAUCCAUCCUUGCAUCUCUCCAUCCAUCUUGUCAUCCAUCUUCCAUCCAACAAGAUGAAACUCCAUGUGUUGGGUCUCAUAAAGUGUGUCCUAUAUAAGAUGAAUCUUGGGAAGAGACGAGGAAAGGAAUUGGAGUAUAUGAUGGGGAGUGGUGAUGAUAAUCCACACCUGAAGGCACUGCAGUAGGCUCUGGGGUUACAACAAUGGUCAAGACGAUGUGCCUGUGGUCUUCAUGUAGCUGCUGGUCCAGGGGAGGAGAUGUGGAAGUAAUCAGACAAUUGAACACAGUGUGGUAAGUGCUGCUAAAACCAGUGAGGACUUCAGAUGCCAUGGGAGUUCAUGGAAAGGGCAAUGAAACUAUCUGGGGGAAAUUGGGGACUCUUUUCUGGAAGAGUGCUAUGGUCUGUAGGUUUGUGCUCUCCUCCAAUCCAUAUGUUGAAGUCUUAAUCCUCAAUGCCUUAAGAGGUGGGGCCUUUAGAAGAGGAUUAGGUUGUAAGGGUGGAGUCCUCAUGAACAGGAUCAGUGCCCUUACGAAAGAGACCAUGUAGUAGGAGUAAAGGUGACCCUUAUCCCUACUAUGUGAGGACAGAAACAGAUGGCAUGUCCAUGAGCCAGAAAAGGGGCUCUUGCAGACAUUGAAUCCAUGGAUGCCUUGACAUCAGAUUUCUGUCUCCAAAACUUUGAGAAAUAAGUGUCCAUUGUUCAUAAGCUACCCAGUGUCUGCCAUUUUGGUAAAACAGCCCAAACUGAAUAAGACAAGAUGGUUAAGUUCCCAUUGAAAGAUUAAAAGAAGAGUAGCAAGGUUGACAAGGAUGGGGACAGGCAGGAUUACCUUCCAUAAUUUGGCCAGAGGUAAUAAUCUGUGAAAGACCGGGUGCAUAGCUCUGUGGUCCAGUGCUUGUCUAGCAUGCAGGAGGCCCUGGGUUGGAGCCCCAGCACGAAAUCAAAACCAAAACAGGCAAACAGACAAAAACCAAAAAAAAACAAAAAAAAACCCCCAAACCAAAAAUCUUGUGCAAAGGCUCAGGGCAAGAGAACAGGGCAUGCAUGGUGAGAGGCUUGCCAAAGCUCAUCAGGACUUGAGUGCUGUUAAGAAGGAAAUCUCUAGGGGCUGGUCACUCAUAUCAAGGAAUCUGGAUUUCAUCCAUGAAUUGUCCCAGACACCCCAACAUUUUGAGGUCUAGUCUAUGUCUCCAAGACAACCUCUUCCAUCUCGAAGCUGUUCAUUCAUCCUCCCUUUUGAAAUGUGUUGUGGUAAUCAUACUUGAUGCCUGUUGAUAUGGAAAGAAGAUGUCCUAGCUGGGCACACAUUAUUGGGGCAGUGCCUCUUGCAUCUCUGUUCCAGAGUCAAAAUGAUGUCUCUCAAGUUUCAAUUCGGAAAAAAUACUGCUCAUAUUUAUAUGAGCAGUAUGACAUAAUUCUGCUGCUUCUGCAGCUACCACAGACCCCCAAACUUUCAGGAAUUUAAAAUACGGCAAGUUUUGCCCAAUUCGCAGACCUCAGACUCAAGUUUGCAAAAUAAAGGACAAUUCUAUAAUAUUUCCACCAUAGAAUUUGGUUUCUCUCUUCAGCACGAUGCCACUGAACAGAUAGUAGCAUUUCAGGGCAAAUACAACCAAGUCAGUGUCUCCCUUUUCUUUUUAUUUUAUGAUUGCCCCCAAUUUCCAGGCGACUUGGGCACUGACAAGCCAUCGGGAGUGGCAGCUGGUUCUUGGCCAUCAUGUCCUCUCUUCUGUAUCUACCACUGGGGGCCUUACUGCCAUUGGUUCCAUCGGUCACUGCCCAUUCUUCCUGCUCUCCUUGGGGAUGUCUAAGGCUUCAUCUUUUUCCUAGUGGUUGUGAUAAAAGUUACUCUGAACCUCCACGAGGUGACCAGGGUAUAUCAAGCCUCAUCGGUCCUGAAGAUUAAAUGGGAAACAUUUGGCUCCUUACCUUGCCCGUAGGGAAUGAGAGGCCAGGCCCUUUUAUCUGGACCCUUGAAGCCAAUUUCUCUAUUUUUGUGGCUCCAGAUGGGGUGGAGGUGGAGAACUCCAAGACCUUGUUCACUUUCCUAAACCCUGCUCAGCUGGCAAGCUCUGGUUCCUUCUACUUUUGGAUUUAUGCUCUCUUAUCCCUCUGGGCCCAAACCUCAGGGUAUCAGAACACAGAGGACCCUCUCAGGACUGCUCAUAGUUUCCCCUUUCAUCUCCCGUUUUAGGGAUUUUAAUCUAAUAUGAGUAGUAGUGAAAACUGGCUCCAACAGAUCAUGGAAUUCUUUUUGCCCACUUUUUUGAAAUAAACUCUACUUGGGGUCUCUCUGGGUUCUACUUUGGAACUAUAGUCUCCCAAAAUUUUGCCUCUGUUAUGGGCUCCAAUGUUGAUUUUGAAACCGGAAAGCUGAGCAUGGAUUUCUCUCUCUUUUACAUAUGUCACAACCUUCCCCAAGGAGCAUUGGAAUAGAAUGACCUCACCAUUGAUCCAUGGGAAGGAGGAGUAAAGGAAUAAUUGGGAAAAACUCUCCUGGUUUAGCUCUGUGAUCGAGUAUACCUUCACAAGAGAGUUUACCCAUUGUGGAUCAUAAAACAGGAAGCACUGACAAAUCUUAGAGUGGGCUGUAGCUUGGAGAGGACAAAUUGAGUGUUGUCUGUGUCUAAAAUACUAGGUAAAAAGAACCAUUUACUUUCUUCCCUACUCAAAAGGCAUAUCAGUGACAAAAUACAAGUGACAGAAAUGUUCCCUUGAAAAAAUAUAUACCCUCCAUCAUCUCGCUCUCUGUCUUCGUCUCUCCAUCUUUAGUUCAAGUCUAAUUAAGCCUGUGUGCCUAGGAGAAUGCGAUCACUCUUGCUUACUAUCCCCUCCUAGUACAAAAGGAUGGAGAUGUCAGUUCUGUCCAGAAAACUCACUACAAACAGACCAAAGCUUACCAGCAGCUUCCUGAUGGCUCUCUCAUCAGCCUGCUGUUUGGAACUGGGAAGUUCUGAACUCUAGACCAAAAGACGAUCUCAGUGCUCAGACCCUGAAAAUCGCAAAGAAAUGACUUACUCUUUGUUAUAGGGAGCCGCUUCAGAAAACACUCUAAGUCCAAAUUCAAAUCAAAGAGAGUUUUAUUUAUUUUAUGGCCAAGGACGGUCACCCAUCCAUAGAGGCUGAAGCUCUUGAGAACAGCAACUUCCUGGUCUGUGUCUUGGAAUUUAAGGACAAAAACCACAGAUCAGGGACUUUCCUUAGCACAUGCAAGCAAGCCAAUCACAGAAGCUAAGACAGCAAUUAGCACAGCAACUUAAGACAAUCGCAUCUUGGGUUUGAGCAGGUGUUAGACAACCAUAUCCUGAGUUUGAGUAGGUGGUU